UUUUCUUUCACAAUGGUUUUGCCGAGAUAAAGAACAAAUUAUACUGAUUUGAUUGCUACUUAGAAAUACUUAAAAUUGAAAAAGACAGCAGGUGGGCCUGGUUAGAAAAGAUGGUUAUUUUAGCAUAACAGAUGCAUGCAUAAAACAUCACCCAGCCAAUUUUUUAAUCAUAAGACCCCCCAAACUUUACUACUUUUCCUUGGGUUGUGAGCAAGUGGGGGAAAUAAGUGGGCACAGUUUGAGGGCGCCCUCUUGGCUGAAGGAGCCAGACAUCCCAGAAAAGCCUGGAAAGGAGCAAGGUUUGGGGUGUAAGUUAAGUGCAAGGUCUGGUAGAUUACAGAGCUGGGAAUCAGGGCUGGAUACAUGAGCAACAGGAACCCAGGAGGCAAGGGCCAAGCACACAGUGUUCCAAGCCACAAGAAGCAAUGCUCUGCCCCUUUUAAGUACAAUUUUCUGAUUACUAAAAAAGGGAUGUGCUGGGCUUCCCAGCCUUGCAUUUGUCACUGGGACUUUCUCAGAUGGCAGAAGCCAGCCACACCGCCAAACCAUCCUCUUUGGCUUCCACUGUCUCUGUUUCCAAGAAACACAAAUUUAAGAUUGUGGAAAGAAGAUGUGCCUGUUUGCACUCCAGAUGGGGCCUCAUGGACCUGCAACCUUGCUCCCAGCUCCUGGUGUGUAUCUGCAUUUACUCUGUUGGAAGGUGUAUAAGCCGUCGACUUGCUCAGCUGUUCGUUAAAAAUGAAAGAACUGCUUUAUUCCAGUCCAUUCCAGAAAAGAAGUUCCAGACAUGCUGGAGCAAUGGCAGCCUUGUCGGAAUAGGAGCAAGGAAAAAGAAAUUGAGCCAGCCCACCUACGUUCGGAUGGGCAGAACCAGCUUCAACCUUGUGCAAGUCACCCAAACCCCUGGAGCCUUCACUUCUUCAUUUGAAAAAAGGAUGAAAAGAAUACCUUUCUGGCUGCAUUGGUUUGAAGAUCAAAUAAAAUAAUAAAUGUGAAAGUGUAUUUUGAAAUGUCAGGCAUGUUUUAAUGUUCACUAUUAAUAGUAAUAUGUAUUAUAUUUAGCCUAUGAUUCCACAGGAUGCUUCAGCAACAAAGAACAGAAACCUGGAGUCCAGCUGGCUUAACAAGAGGGAAGUUUAUUCUCUCAUGUAGCUUGAGAUCCAAAGGCAGAUCAGCCUUCAGGGUUGGUGGCUUCAGGGUCUCAGGGGUGUCUCCAGGGGCCUAGGUUCUUUUUGUUUCUCUGUCAUGCCAUCCUUGCUAUCAGAUUUAUGUUCAGCUUGGUCGAAUAAAAUGGCUCUACAGAUGCA
rnacentral:lncRNA from 13 species